rnacentral:rRNA from 1 species
AACGAACGCUGGCGGCAUGCCUAACACAUGCAAGUCGAACGAGACCUUCGGGUCUAGUGGCGCACGGGUGCGUAACGCGUGGGAACCUGCCCUUAGGUUCGGAAUAACUCCCCGAAAGGGGUGCUAAUACCGGAUAAUGUCUUCGGACCAAAGAUUUAUCGCCUUUGGAUGGGCCCGCGUUGGAUUAGCUAGUUGGUAGGGUAAAAGCCUACCAAGGCGACGAUCCAUAGCUGGUCUGAGAGGAGGAUCAGCCACACUGGGACUGAGACACGGCCCAGACUCCUACGGGAGGCAGCAGUGGGGAAUAUUGGACAAUGGGCGAAAGCCUGAUCAAGCAAUGCCGCGUGAGUGAUGAAGGCCUUAGGGUUGUAAAGCUCUUUUACCCGGGAUGAUAAUGACAGUACCGGGAGAAUAAGCACCGGCUAACUACGUG